rnacentral:lncRNA from 1 species
UUCUUUCGCCUUCUGGCUAAAAAACGUUCCGCAGCAAUGCAGCUGAAACUUUCGGGUUUUCUUUUUUUUGUCCCUCUCUCCUUUUUUUUAAUAUUUUUGUUUUUGCCGCCUUUACGCUCCGAGGCCCAUCCUGCCGGAGUACUACACAGACAGGGUCAUUUCAGUUGACGGUUCUGGGUCACCAGAGCAGAGGAAGCCCCAAUUUCGCCCUCCGGUCACACCUCCUACUCCAGAUCGCCCCGCCCACCUGACCCGCCUCUGCGCCGCCGGGCUGCGUGAGUCUCAUGAGCGUGCUCUGAAUUAAGGCAGAGUCACUGUAAUUAUUUCUAAUACCAAUUCCAAAAUAGUGACUCUUGGACAAUAGUGCAAUUAUAUGGAAUUAUGGCUGGUUAUAAGCCUGUAGCUAUUCAGACAUAUCCUAUACUUGGUGAAAAAAUCACCCAAGAUACACUGUACUGGAACAACUAUAAGACCCCUGUUCAGAUUAAGGAAUUUGGUGCAGUUUCAAAAGUAGACUUUUCUCCUCAGCCUCCAUAUAAUUAUGCUGUCACAGCUUCCUCAAGAAUUCACAUUUAUG